CUUUGCGUCACAUAUAACGAUCGGUCCGUGUACACUACCGGUUGCGCGUGCUUUGGGGAUGCAAGCCACGUGCUAAAGGGAACUUUCAAUAAAUAUUCAAGUUUUUCGCGGUUCAGAGGAAAACUCUGCGUUCUUUGGGAUUGGCUAGUUAACGGGCGGCGCGCUCACGAGGCCUUUGUAGCUUAUCGCAAGAACUUGUACCAAGACUGGACUAUUCGCAGCCUCAAAUUCAGCUCGUUGUAUAUCACAAUGCACAGCCGAUGCCAUGGGAAGUUCCUAACGGAGAGCAACCGCGAGGUAUCCUGAAGCGUCAUCAAGGGAGGGAUAGCCGUCCCAACUUUGUUUUAUCAAGGACUGCUCGACUAGAAUAAUCAUAGCCCCCCAAACAAACACAUGGUUUCUGGUAAGAGACUUGCUCUUAGCUGCCGUGCGCCCCGAAGAACUCGAGGAAAUCAGAGACGUGUGCGAGUUUUCAAUAGCGGCCAAUAAAAAAGAUCUGCUACUCGAACAUUCGUGGGGAAGUUUCUGGUCUUUUUCAAAGAAUAGAGCAGCGUCCACGUUGCAAGAGGGCAGUGUCGAGGG